rnacentral:lncRNA from 10 species
UUGCAGAGAUGGGGUCUUGCUAUGUUGCCCAGGCUGGGCUGGAACUCCUGGACUCAAUUGAUCCUCCCAGCUCCACCUCCCAAAGCACUGGGAUUACAGGCAUGAGCCACCAUGUCUGGCCUUUAAUAGUGCUUUCUUUCUUUCUUUCUUUUUUUUUUUUUUUGAGACACAAUCUCACUCUGUUGCCCAGGCUGGAGUACAAUGACACAAUCUCGGCUCACUGCAAUCUCCGCCUCCCGGGUUCAAGCGGGUCUCCUGCCUCAGCCUCCCAAGUAUUUGGGACUACAGGCACGUAGUCACCACACCUGGCUAAUUUUUUGUGUUUUUAGCGGAGACAGGAUUUCGCCAUGUUGCCCAGGCUGCUGACCUCAGGUGAUCCACCCGCCUUGGCCUCCCAAAGUGCUUGGAUUAUAGAUGUGAGCCACUUUGCCUGGCGAAUAGUGCUAUUUUUUUAAAACACCUACUGAAUAUCUGAGUGAGUCCAUAAAGUCCUUAAGAUGG